AUUGAACGCUGGCGGCAGGCCUAACACAUGCAAGUCGAACGAGUGGCGGACGGGUGAGUAAUGUCUGGGAAACUGCCUGAUGGAGGGGGAUAACUACUGGAAACGGUAGCUAAUACCGCAUACCAUCAGAUGUGCCAAGAUGGGGUGUGCUUGUUGGAGGGGUAACGGAUACCCAAGGCGACGAUCCCUAUCUGGUCUGAGAGGAUGACCGGCCACACUGGAACGGAGACACGGUCCAGACUCCUACGUGAGGCAGCAGUGGGGAAUAUGCCAAAAUGGGCGCAAGCCUGAUGCAGCCAUGCCGCGUGUAUGAAGAAGGCCUUAGGGUUGUAAAGUACUUUCAGCGGGGAGGCGUUACCCGCAGAAGAAGCACCGGCUAACUCCGUGCCAGCGGCCGCGGUAAUUC
rnacentral:rRNA from 1 species